rnacentral:rRNA from 1 species
CACGUAGGGCGCAAGCGUUGUCCGGAAUUAUUCGGCGUAAAGAGCUCGUAGGCGGUCUGUUGCGUCCGCUGUGAAAACUCGGGGCUUAACCCCGAGCCUGCAGUGGAUACGGGCAGACUAGAGGUAGGUAGGGGAGAAUGGAAUUCCUGGUGUAGCGGUGAAAUGCGCAGAUAUCAGGAAGAACACCCGUGGCGAAGGCGGUUCUCUGGGACGGUACUGACGCUGAGACGCGAAAGCGUGGGGAGCGAACAGG